rnacentral:misc_RNA from 1 species
GAUGAAGAACGUAGCGAAAUGCGAUAAGUAAUGUGAAUUGCAGAAUUCAGUGAAUCAUCGAAUCUUUGAACGCACAUUGCGCCCGCCAGUAUUCUGGCGGGCAUGCCUGUUCGAGCGUCAUUUCAACCCUCAGGCCCUCAGUGCCUGGUGUUGGGGAUCGGCCCAGCCUUCCUGUAAGGCCGCCGGCCCCGAAAUCUAGUGGCGGUCUCGCUGUAGUCCUCCUCUGCGUAGUAGCACAACCUCGCAGUUGGAACGCGGCGGUGGCCAUGCCGUUAAACACCCCACUUCUGAAAGUUGACCUCGGAUCAGGUAGGAAUACCCGCUGAACUUAAGCAUAUCAAUAAGCGGAGGA